CCUACGGGUGGCAGCAGUGAGGAAUAUUGGACAAUGGACGAGAGCCUGAUCCAGCCAAGUAGCGUGAAGGAUGACUGCCCUAUGGGUUGUAAACUUCUUUUAUCAAGGAAUAAAACGAAGCGCUUGUGCCUUUUUGCAUGUACUUUAUGAACAAGGAUCGGCUAACUCCGUGCCAGCAGCCGCGGUAAUACGGAGGAUCCGUGCGUUAUCCUGGUUUAUUGGGUUUAAAGGUAGCGUAGAUGGGUUGUUAAGUCAGUUGUGAAAGUUUGUGGCGCAACCGUAAAAUUGCAAUUGAUACUGGCAGUCUAGAGUACAGUUGAGGUAGGCGGAAUUCGAGGUGUAGCGGUGAAAUGCUUAGAUAUCACGAAGAACCCCGAUUGCGAAGGCAGCUUACUAAACAGUGACUGACAUUGAUGCUCGAAAGUGUGGGGAUCAAACAGGAUUAGAUACCCGAGUAGUC
rnacentral:rRNA from 1 species